UACGGGGGGUGCAAACGUUGCUCGGAAUUAUUGGGCGUAAAGCGCACGUAGGCGGUCCUGUAAGUCGGGUGUGAAAGCCCGGGGCUUAACCCCGGAAGUGCACUCGAAACUGCAAGGCUUGAGUAUGGAAGAGGGUCUCGGAAUUCCCGGUGUAGAGGUGAAAUUCGUAGAUAUCGGGAGGAACACCAGUGGCGAAGGCGGAGACCUGGGCCAAUACUGACGCUGAGGUGCGAAAGCGUGGGGAGCAAACAGG
rnacentral:rRNA from 1 species